ACUAUUUUGGCAAAUAAGUGCACUAAAUUUAGAAUUUAUGAAUUUAAUUUUUAUUCCAAAUAGUA
rnacentral:tRNA from 1 species